GACAGAGGGUGCAAACGUUGUUCGGAAUGACUGGGCGUAAAGCGCGUGUAGGCGGCUCGGCAAGUCGGUUGUGAAAGCCCUGGGCUCAACCCAGGAAGUGCACUCGAAACUGCCGAGCUGGAGUCCCGGAGAGGAAGGCGGAAUUCUCGGUGUAGAGGUGAAAUUCGUAGAUAUCGAGAGGAACACCGGUGGCGAAGGCGGCCUUCUGGACGGCGACUGACGCUGAGACGCGAAAGCGUGGGGAGCAAACAGG
rnacentral:rRNA from 1 species